CAAUAGCGUAUAUUAAUGUUGUUGCAGUUAAAAGCUCGUAGCCGACUCUCGGGGCGGUGUCAACGGUCCGCAGAAAUGUGAGCACUGUUGUCUCCGCCUCUUCCUUCUGGACACCAUGUCUUCUCUUAACUGAGCGGAUGUGGGGGCCAGAUCGUUCACUUUGAACAAAUUAGAGUGUUCAAAGCAGGCCUCCGCCUGAAUACUUGAGCAUGGAAUGAUAUCAAUAGGUCCUUCCUCCCCGUUUAUUGGUGAUGGGGAGGAAGGAAAUGAGAAAGGGGAAUGGUUGGGGCCAUUCGUACUGCAGCGUUAGAGGUGAAAUUCUUGGAUCGCUGAAAGAUGAGCUUAGGCGAAAGCAUUUAUCAAAGAUGUUUUCAUUAUUCAAGAACGAAAGUUAGGGGAUCGAAGACGAUCAGAUACC
rnacentral:rRNA from 1 species